AUUGAACGCUGGCGGCAGGCCUAACACAUGCAAGUCGAACGAGUGGCGGACGGGUGAGUAAUGUCUGGGAAACUGCCUGAUGGAGGGGGAUAACUACUGGAAACGGUAGCUAAUACCGCAUACCAUCGGAUGUGCCCAGAUGGGCUUAGCUAGUAGGUGGGGUAAAGGCUCACCUAGGCGACGCUCCCUAGCUGGUCUGAGAGGAUGACCAGCCACACUGGAACUGUGACACGGUCCAGACUCCGACGGUAGGCAGCAGGGGGGAAUAUUGCACAAUGGGAGCAAGCCGGAUGCAGCCAUGCCGCGUGUAUGAAGAAGGCCUUCGGGUUGUAAAGUACUUUCAGCGGGGAGGCGUUACCCUCAGAAGAAGCACCGGCUAACUCCGUGCCAGCAGCCGCGGUAAUAC
rnacentral:rRNA from 1 species